GGCAGAAUACUUUGACAUGUAAAAGAUAUCAAGUUUUAGGAUUCAUUUUUAGGAGCCUCUGUUUUUAUUCCCUUUACUUGUCGUGCCUUCUUCCUCUCAAACGAAACCCUAGGAAUUUUUCUCCCCAUCGACUAUCUCGCCUCUCUUCUCCCAGGUCACGUUUGCACCGUCUCUGCACUCAACGUGGUCGUCGUGUGGUUGCUGGAAGAUCGAAUAAGCCCUAGCAAUUUCUGGCUUGUCUUCUUCACCGUUCCUCCAAGAUCGAAGAAGCCCUAGCGAUGUCUAAGGGGUAAUCAUAAGCAGUGACCAUGCUGAUGGGUUUCUAGAGAAACAGAACAACAAAAGGGACCAUACUGUCCAAAUGGGAAGAGCUUUCCAACAAGACAUAUUUUAGGCAAAAGAAAAAUGACACUGGGAUUGCUAGAAGGUAUUCCAACAAUGUUGAAAUGUGAAGUAGCUGUGGGAAGGGCUUUCCAACCAGGCAUAUUUUAGGCAAAAGCAAAUGAUACUGGGAUUGCUAGAAGGUAUUCUAACAAUGUUGAAAUGUGAAGUAGUUAUGGUAAUUUUCUUUCUCGUACUCAUUGUCUUAUUCUCCAUCCUUCUUUUCUCUUAAUCUAUCUAUUUCACCACUUAAUCUUUUUGCUUGCAUGGUAGGUUCCUAAAGGUAUAGAAAUGAAUGAGUAGGUAUGUGUACAAAAUGUAAGAAACAAGGUUGCAAGAACAAUUGGGGGACGCUUAUUUGGCAUAAAAUAGGUAUGUUGAGAUCUUAUUUCAAAGUUAUUUAGGGAUUCACAUAUUGAUUCUGACUUCUUGUGGUGAUGAUUUGUAAUAUGCUUUCUUGAAAUUAAGGAUAAUAAACAAUUUAGGACCAAUAUAAUUAUUAUUAGAUCUAUUAUUUCCA